rnacentral:rRNA from 1 species
AACGAACGCUGGCGGCAUGCCUAACACAUGCAAGUCGAACGAGACCUUCGGGUCUAGUGGCGCACGGGUGCGUAACGCGUGGGAACCUGCCCUUAGGUUCGGAAUAACUCCCCGAAAGGGGUGCUAAUACCGGAUAAUGUCUUCGGACCAAAGAUUUAUCGCCUUUGGAUGGGCCCGCGUUGGAUUAGCUAGUUGGUAGGGUAAAAGCCUACCAAGGCGACGAUCCAUAGCUGGUCUGAGAGGAUGAUCAGCCACACUGGGACUGAGACACGGCCCAGACUCCUACGGGAGGAAGCAGUGGGGAAUAUUGGACAAUGGGCGAAAGACUGAUCCAGCAAUGCCGCGUGAGUGAUGAAGGCCUUAGGGUUGUAAAGCUCUUUUACCCGGGAUGAUAAUGACAGUACCGGGAUAAUAAGCUCCGGCUAACUCCGUG